CUCCAAACAAGUCUUUGGUGGUGGCAGUGGCGGUGGCAAACUGGGGCACAAAAGCAGGGUGAACUAAAGACGUCUCCUCAGCCUGCCUUCCGCCCACCCCGAGCGCACCUGCUCCCUCCCUUUCAGGCUGUCGGGCCCGCCGAGGGGUCCCCGGUGGGGAGCGGGCUGGGUGGGGCCGGGUGGGUUACAAAAGCCGAUGAGUCUCGGCUCAUUGCUCCCUCUGCACCCGCUCCUCGAUGAGUCAGACCCAGACCUUACGGGACGCUGUUAGGGGUCAAUCACUCCCCCUCCCACCCUGGCAUUCAAUGUAGGAAGUCAGGUCUCUCCCCAGCCUCCUAGCAAGAGGAGGAAGGCCCACGGGCGCCCGAGAAACUUACCGAGGAAGCCUCGAUGCCCUCCCCCCACGCACACACGCAUGUACCCCCAUUGCUCCUUGCCCCCAGCUCAACGACCUUCUUUUUUAUUCCUAACAGUGAUGACUUUCACGACCCCGACCCCCCGCCUGAACCUGGGGAAGACGAGAUCGAGCUGUUAGAUGACACCCUUGACCUGGAAGCCGAGCAGGACCUGGAGUCUGAGUCCGAGUUGGAGUCCGAACUGGAACCAGAACCUCAGCUGCUCCCAGAAUCGGAGUCCGAGCUAGAAGACGAAGUCCCUGUCCCAGUCAGCGUCUUCGUUCAAACCUCCAAUCUGGCAUUUAGCCUGACCCCGAGGAAGAUGCCCCCGGGACCCAGAGUGAAUGUCCAGAUCCAGACGGCUGUUGGGCCCAAAGGGGCAUUGGAGUUAAGUAUUUCCCACGAGCCCCGGAGCCCGGAGCCCUUACCGGUGAAGGAUGGUCUGCACCAUACAUUCCGGUCAGUCUUUGUGCAAACCUCCAGGCACCUGUUCCGGAUAGACAAGCUGAUACAGGCGUCUGACCAUCGCCUCAAGCAGCCAUUAGGGAUAGGGUGCCACCCAUUCCCAAUGCGAGACUGGCCUUUCCAGAAAUCUUUUGGACGAACCUCCAAGGAAAGCCUGCUCUCUGGCAACAAAUUGUCCAAGAUGUUCAUGGAGGACGUUAGAAUCCAAACCUCUCACCCAAGCCUGGGCAUUGAAGGUUUCCCACCACAGACCCCCAUUCAAGUAUUACUACCAGAAAGGUCGCCCUCAGAAAUCCAGUUGCUACCUUCCCGAAGCUUGUCUGCUAAAUUCUCGGAGCCACUGGACUUCAGAAUACUAGACUUUCGUCCAACCUCUGCCAGCCUUCCCCCAGCGCUGGUUUCUAGUACUGCGACCUCUUGCAAUUCCUCUUCCACAGAGCUGAUACUAGAUUCCAAAGCUCUGAUUUCCUGCAAGUCUUCCACAGGGCUGAGAAUGAGCUCCAGGUCACCCAUGACCCAAGAAUCGACCACGGACCUUUCCAUAGCAACUGAGCAGCCAGUCUCACCUUUGCCCCUCCUGAAGCCACCAGAAGCAGGGGAGCCUCAGAAGUCCAUCAGCCAGGAAUUUGCCCCGAAGCCAGGCUAUGCUCUGAACAUGACCAAGGCAGCCUCAGAAAGAGCAUCCAUGGAAGGGGAAGUUAACCCUCUCCACUCUCCAUCUUUAGCUCCAGUGUCAUCGGGACCUUGGAAAGAGUGGUCAUCAGCAGAGCACCAGGAGAUCCACAGUGAUACAGAAAUUGUACAGGUGAUGGAGCUGUUGACUUUGAGGACUUCCUUGGGAUCCUGACAGACAAUCAUCGCUUUGCCCAAUGCAUGGAUGUCCCAGGUCCCUAUUCUCAGGUCCCCAACCUGCCCUCUCGGACACGGUCGACCGAAAGGAGGAUUCGCAGCAGAGGUCCCCGACUCUCCAACCUGGCCAGGCCCUGCGACAAACCCAAGCCGCCUCAGCGAGAGGCACCUCGGCCGCAGGCCCCGGAUAAAAGUUAAUGGAGAGGGGAGGGGGCUGGCCAGCCUGUGCCCAACGUCCAUCCCACCUCCCUGAUACCAAUCCUGCUCCUUUCUUUGCAGAGCCCAUAGGUCAACGACCACAGUCAGAAGAGGGGACUGCAGAGCUGAGACCAGCUCCCUCCCCACCCACCCUGGUCCAGAGCCAACUCCCUUCCCCACCCCCUCCUACCCCACAGAGU
ensembl:lncRNA